rnacentral:misc_RNA from 1 species
GGGAUGCCUAAGGUAGGACUGAUGACUGGGGUGAAGUCGUAACAAGGUAGCCGUACCGGAAGGUGUGGCUGGGUCACCUCCUUUUAGGGAGACCUAAUCCAUUUAGAAAUGUUAAGGAAAUUACCAUAACAAACUAAAUUGGUCUAACCUAGGUCGGUCGAGAUUGGGGAAAUCUUUCAAAGUAUUAUUUGGCUUAGUUCAAACUAAAAAAAACCUAUUGGAAAACCACAGCAACUAACGAAAGUUAGACUGCUGGAAUUAGUUCCAGUCAGAACCUUGAAAACUGCAUAAGAGAAAGAGUAAAAAAGCAGGCAGUCUUUAUAAGACUGUAAGUGGUCAAGAUAAUAAGAGCUAAUGGUGGAUACCUAGGCACCACAGAGGA